GAUGAACGCUGGCGGCGUGCCUAAUACAUGCAAGUCGAGCGAACAGACGAUGAUCUUGCUCCUCUGACGUUAGCGGCGGACGUGUGAGUAACACGUGUAUAACCUACCUAUAAUACUGGGAUAACUUCGGAAAACCGGAUCUUAUACCGUAUAAUCUAUUGAAGCGCAUGGUUCAAUAGUAAAAUUCGGUGUUGCUGUCUCUUAUAGCUGCAUCCCCGCCGCGUGAGCUAGUUGGUAAGGUAACGGCUUACCAAGGCAACGAUGCGUAACCGACCUGAGAGGGUGAUAGGCCACCCGGGAACUGAGACACGGUCAUGACUCCUAAGGGAGGCAGCAGUCGGGAAUCUUAGGCAAUGGGCGAAAGCCUGACGGAGCAACGCCGCGUGAGUGAUGAAGGUCUUCGGAUCGUAAAGAUCUGUUAUUAGGGAAGAACAAAUGUGUACGUAACUAUGCCCGUAUUGACGGUAACUAAUAAGAAAGCAACGGCUAACUACGUG
rnacentral:rRNA from 1 species